UCCACACUGAACAAUCAAAUACUGACUGUGGAUAACACAUUCAGUCCUGGAAGCUUUCGUGGCUCAGUGAAUAAUAGAAAGAUUCAAUGCAUUUUCACUGCUCCGGGUCUCGGCAGCAGCACCACCCGUGCUGCAGCAACAGAUCCUUAUGUGUUUGUUGUAACAGGCACGGUAUCAAAUGGAGGACUAGAUCCUCCAGUCAGUAGACUGGCGACAAAUGUGUCAGUGGACUUAAGCAACCCUAACAGCACAGAUGUUUCAGUAAUAACAAAUGUCACUGCAUCUACUACCACAGCAACAUCAACCACCACUGCAGCAUCUACAAACCUGACUCAGACAGG